rnacentral:misc_RNA from 1 species
GUGAAUCAUCGAAUUUUUGAACGCAUAUUGCACUCACUGGUAUUCCGGAGAGUAUGUCUGUUUGAGGGUAAUUAUAAAGAAUAUUUAACUAAUUUUUUUGGUCAACGGAUAUGAGUUCUCCGCGUUUAUAGAGGUAGCUUGAUAUAAAUGGUCAAGUCUCAUUUUAGUCGAAACGCGUAAUAAUAUUAUGUAGUUCAAUCUUUAUUAUGUGAUUAUCAAGUUUUGAUGAAUACAAAUU